rnacentral:rRNA from 1 species
CCUACGGGAGGCAGCAGUGGGGGAUAUUGCACAAUGGGGGAAACCCUGAUGCAGCGACGCCGCGUGGGUGAAGAAGCGCCUCGGCGCGUAAAGCCCUGUCAGCAGGGAAGAAAAUGACGGUACCUGACUAAGAAGCCCCGGCUAACUACGUGCCAGCAGCCGCGGUAAUACGUAGGGGGCAAGCGUUAUCCGGAUUUACUGGGUGUAAAGGGAGCGUAGACGGUCCUGCAAGCCAGAUGUGAAAGCCCGGGGCUCAACCCCGGGACUGCAUUUGGAACUGUAAGGCUAGAGUGUCGGAGAGGCAGGCGGAAUUCCUAGUGUAGCGGUGAAAUGCGUAGAUAUUAGGAGGAACACCAGUGGCGAAGGCGGCCUGCUGGACGAUGACUGACGUUGAGGCUCGAAAGUGUGGGUAUCAAACAGGAUUAGAUACCCUAGUAGUC